UACGAAGGGGGCUAGCGUUGCUCGGAAUUACUGGGCGUAAAGCGCACGUAGGCGGCUCUUUAAGUCGGGGGUGAAAUCCUGGAGCUCAACUCCAGAACUGCCUUCGAUACUGAAGAGCUCGAGUCCGGGAGAGGUGAGUGGAACUGCGAGUGUAGAGGUGAAAUUCGUAGAUAUUCGCAAGAACACCAGUGGCGAAGGCGGCUCGCUGGCCCGGUACUGACGCUGAGGUGCGAAAGCGUGGGGAGCAAACAGG
rnacentral:rRNA from 1 species